GGGGAAUUUUGGACAAUGGGCGAAAGCCUGAUCCAGCCAUGCCGCGUGCAGGAUGAAGGCCUUCGGGUUGUAAACUGCUUUUGUACGGAACGAAAAGACUCCUUCUAAUAAAGGGGGUCCAUGACGGUACCGUAAGAAUAAGCACCGGCUAACUACGUGCCAGCAGCCGCGGUAAUACGUAGGGUGCAAGCGUUAAUCGGAAUUACUGGGCGUAAAGCGUGCGCAGGCGGUUAUAUAAGACAGAUGUGAAAUCCCCGGGCUCAACCUGGGAACUGCAUUUGUGACUGUAUAGCUAGAGUGCAGGAGAGGAGAACGGAAUUCCUAGUGUAGCGGUGAAAUGCGUAGAGAUUAGGAAGAACACCAGUGGCGAAGGCGGUUCUCUGGACUGUAACUGACGCUGAGGCACGAAAGCGUGGGUAGCAAACA
rnacentral:rRNA from 1 species